rnacentral:rRNA from 1 species
CGCGUAGGUGGUAGUGUAAGUCUGGGGUGGAAUCCCAGGGCUUAACCCUGGAACUGCCUUGGAAACUGUAUUACUUGAGUCAGUGAGGGGAGGGUAGAAUUCCUGGUGUAGCGGUGAAAUGCGUAGAUAUCAGGAGGAAGGCCCGUGGCGAAGGCGGCCCUCUGGCGCUGGACUGACACUGAGGCGCGAAAGCGUGGGGAGCAAACAGGAUUAGAUACCCUGGUAGUCCACGCCCUAAACGGUGGGCACUAGGUGUAGGGCUCGUAGGGGUUCUGUGCCGAAGGGAAACCAUUAAGUGCCCCGCCUGGGGAGUACGGCCGCAAGGUUGAA